rfam:Heterorhabditis bacteriophora unplaced genomic scaffold Scaffold446, whole genome shotgun sequence.
CGACCUGAGCUCAGUCGUGAUUACCCGCCGAACUUAAGCAUAUCAUUCAGCGGAGGAAAAGAAACUAACUAGGAUUCCCCAAGUAAUGGCGAAUGAAAGGGGAAGAGCCCAGCGCUGAAUCUCUCGGUCUUAGGCCGCUGAGAACUGUAGCGUAUAGGUGUGACUGUCCUGCUAUAUUGCAUUUCCGAAGUCUCUUUGAUAGGGGCCAACAUCCAGAGAGGGUGCGAGACCUGUACGGAAAGUAGUAUAGUUGGUAUGGUUACUCCUUGGAGUCGGGUUGCUUGAAAGUGCAGCCUAAAGUUGGUGAUAAACUUCAUCUAAGGCUAAAUAUCGACGCGAAAUCGAUAGCAAACAAGUACCGUGAGGGAAAGUUGCAAAGAACUUUGAAGAGAGAGUUCAAGAGAACGUGAAAUCGCUGAAGUGGAACCGGAGAGAGUUAACAUAACUUGGUAGCUAUAUCCUCUAAAGUCGCUUAACUGUGGCUCUGGGGGGUG